CGAAUAGUCGGACUUCAACUACCAGCAUGCCGUGCGAAAUAAUUAGCAUGCUUCUGUCGCAGGAACUACAAGAUCCAGCAUGCACCGUUUCUUCAUCCUUCACUGUCCCGGACCGGAGCAGACCUCCUACCAAGCCCCACUUUGGUAAAAUACUCGUCUCUCAGUUACCCUGAGGUGAAGGUACACCAAGCCAAGCUGUGCCUGGGACUGCAGGUUAAAUACCUGUAAGAAGACAGCAAAGGAUAUGUGCACUCAUUUUCCACAUUAAAAUUAUCCUCAAGGAUGAAGCGCAGGGAACAAUCUGAGGAGACCUUUUAUGAAAUGGAAAACUUUAUCUUCACUUUAAAGGGUUGUUACGGAGAAAUACUAACUGCAAGAUGUAAUUCUGUAUCGUCUUGUUCGAGCAGACUACGUGUGACGUGCCCCUGAACUACAUAGGAAAUUAUAGUAAAAGCUAGAAAUUAAAAGACUGACAGCCUGUACUACCAGACUGUGAACCACAUGGAAAUGAAAGUCUUCCAGAAGGCGAGUUAAAAAGUUAAAAAGAAACUUGAGACUUUUUUUUCCCAGUUUUUUAGUGUUUUGUGAUUUGAAUUAUUUUUAUUACUCUCAUAUACAUGACUAAAACAGUUUAUUUCCUUCUGAUGUGGUGAGGCAGCCAAUUAAGCAAUCAAGGCAAAAGUAUGGCAGGAUCAUAAAUGGAACAUUUAUUAGAGUGAGCGACCAAAAACUGUUUCUUGUAUGAUUAACUUAUGAUUCUAUAUUUUGAAAUGCAGAACUCUUCUGAUUUUUUUAGGGGAGAUAAUAUGCCUCUAACAAGCCAUCUGGAUGCCUUUUUGUAACUUCCAUAAGGACUUGGAUAAUGAGAAUGUAUAUAAAUUAUUCUUGGUAUCAUGCAUUAGCAGGCCACAAGAAACAAUGUUUGAAUACUUAAGAUAACUAUUUGAUAUGAAAAAGUUAAAUUGUGUAUAUACUACCAAUUUUAAUUGGUUGGGAAAAAGUGUAGGACACGUUUCAUUUUUUCAGCUUCACAUGGAAGUCACAGAGGGACACUAUAUUCUAUAACGCUGACAUAGUAUCAGCUACCAUACAAAUGGCUUUUCAACUCCAAUGUGCUAAAUUAUGCAGCACUAGCAAGUAAAUAUUUAAAACCUAUGAUUAUGGAGAACAAUCUGUUGCUUUCCUUACUCGCACAGUAAACAAUGUGAAUAUAAUGAGAGAGAACAUUUCCGUUGGAAUGAUUCAAAGCCAUGCUUCAGCAAGUUCUACAAAGUAAACCUUAUGCUGGAAAUGCAGUGCAGGAUCUCAUCACAGCAUGACCCUGGGCAUAUGAAGAGAAUUCAGGCAUCUUCAUGAACAAGGUUUUAUCAUCCUUGCCUAUCUCUGCUGAUUUCAAUUUAUCAUUGGCAAAGGUGUGAAGUACUUUGUGGCUGGAUAACAGAUUUAUGAAAAGAACCCAGAUAUGUUUCUAUUAUUUUUCUGAUGCAUGCUUGUCAAGGUUCAUUGGGUUUAGAGAUUUUCAUGUUUAGCUCAAAUAAAUGAAAAACGCCUAUAUCAAUUUGUGACCCAUAACUCUGCUGGAAAAUAGCAUAAAUUGAUUUAAUUUAGAUUAUGCUAUUUGUUAUAAGGACACUCUUCACAUUUUCUUUUCUGUCUUGGAAGUUUAUUUUUAGAAUAUUUUCUCUGCAAACUUUUUAGGUAUAAAGCAGGUAAGGCUUUCCAUAGUUUCCCUUAUACAACCCAACUCCAACCUUCCCCAAAGAAAAAUAGGGACCAAUGAAAUGUUAAAUACAUAUCAAGGGAGACAUUGCUUAUUUUUUAAAAUUUUUAUUUACUUAUUUAAGAGGAGAGAUACCCACCCCAAUGAUCGCAUCUGCUGGUUCACUUUCCAAAUACCCACAACAGCCAGGGCUAGGCUGCGGCUGGGAAUGCAAUCCAGGUCUCCCCUGUGCAUGGCAGGAGUCCAAUUACUUGAUCCAUCACCACCUGUCUCCCAGGGUCUGCAUUAGCAGGGAGUCUGAGUAAGGAGCUGCAGCUGGGUGUCAAACUCAGGCACUAAGAAGUGGAACACAGGAGUCUUAAGGGGCGUCUUAACUACUAGACUAAACACUUGCUAGGAAGACUAAAUGGAGGUACUCUCAGAAAGGAGGAUGGGUAUGGGCACAAGAAGUAAAGUGGAAGGCUAACCCUAUUCUCCAAGUAAUAAUCAAGAUAAUAAUCAGGGGUACUAUCUCUAGAAAAGCCCACAUCUUUUUUAAGAUUUAUGUAUUUAUUUGAA